CAAUGGGUCCCAGCAUGGUGCAGUGCCUCACAGGAGUUUCCCUGAGCUGCUUUGACCUCUCUUACCAUCAGCAAAACUCAUCAAGUGCCAGCAGGGGGGACAGGACAGCUGGAUGGGGAACCACGGAGCAGCAUCUCUGCAGAGCUUCACCAGAGCCAAAUGGGAAUCUUGGACCCUCCCAGCUUGGAUUUGGGGCAGCAGGAGGCAGCUCAGAACAACCUUCCAAGAAGAGACUCCAGGAUUUUCAGCCCAAUAUUUCAAUGCUAUGAGCAGGACCAAGCAGGAUUUCUGCACAAUGACAGGACAUCCUUGCAGGGCUCAGCAACUGACUCAGAGCAGCAAAAAUAUUUGUGUGAUGGGGGAAGGAUGAGGC